UAGCUCUUGUUGUUCACAGAGACUCGUGGCAGAUAUAUGAUGCUAUUGUAAUUCAUCCUUGUGAGCCAGGAGUAUCUGAAUGGAUUUAUGUCUACAACCUAAAAUGGUGCGUCUUGUAGUGACAGACCAGUUCCUGAUCUUUGUUGGACGGGACAGGGUCACCACUCCCUUGUAUUUGGGGAUUUGUGUAUUUUAAUGGGAUUUAUGGAUAUUUACCGUAAAGUACAAUGAUGGACCAGUUCCUGCUUUUGUUGGACGGGGCGGAGUUGCCACUCCCUUGUACAUGUAUAUCAGGAUUUGUGUAUUUUAAAGUCAUUUAUUGAUAUUUACGGUGCGUCUUGUAGUCACGGAUGCUUGUGUUAGAGAAAAUUGGCUACAGGCAAGGACAGCCUCAGCCUGACAUGUGUUAAUCAUAUGAUUGUUGACUGUUGAGUUGGGGGACUACUGUUUGUUAUCCAUUGUACCUGUAGAAUGGACACAAUGCAGUAUCAGAACUUACUUGUUCUAGUAAUUAGGUAAUUUUAUCUCCCUUCUCUCAUUCCAGACUCGGUUGCAAUGGAUGUUGAUGUUCUCGUUUUCCUGGUGUAUGGCAGCUUAAGUGAAGCAUGGAUUUCAACAAAUAAGCAAGUAGGAAACUUGCCAUUAUUGAUUCUACCAGAUAGCACUGCUAUUUUUCCAUUACUAAAUGCAGUUUUGUUUUUAUUGAUAAUUCUAUUUAUUGUAGCUUUUGCAAGCUAGUGACAGCAUUAAUGUUUUGCUAUAAAUAUAAUAUUGCAUUAAUGAAUAUUAUUACAGUCUCCAUGAAUAUGAUUACUUUGUUAUGAAUUAAAGUUUAUGAUAAUUUAGUCUCACAUGAUUAAGUGAGAAACAGGAA
rnacentral:lncRNA from 1 species